rnacentral:rRNA from 1 species
UACGAAGGGGGCUAGCGUUGCUCGGAAUCACUGGGCGUAAAGCGCACGUAGGCGGCUUGUUAAGUCAGGGGUGAAAUCCUGGAGCUCAACUCCAGAACUGCCUUUGAUACUGGCGAGCUUGAGUCCGGGAGAGGUGAGUGGAACUGCGAGUGUAGAGGUGAAAUUCGUAGAUAUUCGCAAGAACACCAGUGGCGAAGGCGGCUCACUGGCCCGGUACUGACGCUGAGGUGCGAAAGCGUGGGGAGCAACAG